ensembl:lncRNA
CUAUUUAUGAUUGUGCUAAGGGCCCCAGGAGAUCAUAAUGAGAGACCUAGCCAAGCCUCUGCAGAUAACAUUCAACCCGAAACAAGAAGGAUAAGGAGGAAUUGCCAGCCCUGCAGUUGCUGUCUCUGCCCAUCUAAGAUGGAACCCGCUGUGGAAGAGAUAUUUGGUGUUGACAAAUGCAGCAUCACAUUGUCUGACCUCCUGCAUCAGAAGAAUUGUGAUCUUCAAGCUCGACCAAGACAGAUGAGAGCAUUAAUAAUCCUGAAAAUCAUUCUGGAAUUCAACAGAAGAGACAAAUGGAGCAGAGCCCCCAGCCUCAGGGGUCGGAAUGAAAAGUGCUGACUUCAGAAGCGGCUCCCUUGGCCUGGUUCUGGGUGCACUGAGUGCCUGCCAGCCUGUGGCUCUUCUUGCAGGCCAGAGCUCUUGGAUAUGUAUUGUCC